GAACAGCAGAGGGAGAACAGGGAACAGCAGAGGGAGAACAGUGAACAGCAGAGGGAGAACUGGGAACAGCAGAGGGAGAACAGUGAACAGCAGAGGGAGAACAGUGAACAGCAGAGGGAGAACAGGGAACAGCAGAGGGAGAACAGUGAACAGCAGAGGGAGAACAGUGAACAGCAGAGGGAGAACAGUGAACAGCAGAGGGAGAACAGGGAACAGCAGAGGGAGAACGGGGAACAGCAGAGGGAGAACGGGGAACAGCAGAGGGAGAACAGGGAACAGCAGAGGGAGAAGGGGGAGCAGCAGAGGGAGAACAGUGAACAGCAGAGGGAGAACGGUGAACAGCAGAGGGAGAUCGGGGAACAGCAGAGGGAGAACAGUGAACAGCAGAGGGAGAACAGUGAACAGCAGAGGGAGAACAGUGAACAGCAGAGGGAGAAUGGUGAACAGUAGAGGGAGAACAGGGAACAGCAGAGGGAAAACAGGGAACAGCAGAGGGAGAACAGGGAACAGCAGAGGGAGAACAGGGAACAGCAGAGGGAGAACAGUGAACAGCAGAGGGAGAACAGUGAACAGCAGAGGGAGAACAGUGAACAGCAGAGGGAGAACAGUGAACAGCAGAGGGAGAACAGGGAACAGCAGAGGGAGAACAGUGAACAGCAGAGGGAGAACAGUGAACAGCAGAGGGAGAACAGUGAACAGUAGAGGGAGAACAGGGAACAGCAGAGGGAAAACAGGGAACAGCAGAGGGAGAACAGGGAACAGCAGAGGGAGAACGGGGAACAGCAGAGGGAGAACGGGGAACAGCAGAGGGAGAACGGGGAACAGCAGAGGGAGAACAGGGAACAGCAGAGGGAGAAUGGGGGAACAGCAGAGGGAGAACGGGGAACAGCAGAGGGAGAACAGGGAACAGCAGAGGGAGAACGGGGAACAGCAGAGGUGAGCGUUCAUGUGCAAAGGAUUAGCAUUUCAAUUGUUAUAAUGAUCAACUCUGUAGUGACCUCUCAGCUGACUCCCUCUUUUGUCCACCAAGCUACGAUGCCGGUUCAGCCCACUAGGACACAUUAUCCUAUCAUUUGUUGUAACCAUAUUUACUUUGUUUGUUUAUGCACUUCUGUGAAUGACUUAGUUAGUAAUAAAUAAAUGAUUUAAGACAAUUGAUGUAUGGAUGACUAAUAGUGAAGACUGGGUUCAUGCAUAUAACCAAUAAUUUACGAUGUUUGGAAUGAGACUAACGUGAGGUAAAGUAAAUCAUUCAUUAAUCAGAAGACUAUG
ensembl:lncRNA